CCUACGGGAGGCAGCAGUGAGGAAUAUUGGUCAAUGGACGAGAGUCUGAACCAGCCAAGUAGCGUGAAGGAUGACUGCCCUAUGGGUUGUAAACUUCUUUUAUAAGGGAAUAAAACGUUCCACGUGUGGGAUUUUGUAUGUACCAUAUGAAUAAGGAUCGGCUAACUCCGUGCCAGCAGCCGCGGUAAUACGGAGGAUCCGAGCGUUAUCCGGAUUUAUUGGGUUUAAAGGGAGCGUAGGUGGAUUGUUAAGUCAGUUGUGAAAGUUUGCGGCUCAACCGUAAAAUUGCAGUUGAAACUGGCAGUCUUGAGUACAGUAGAGGUGAGCGGAAUUCGUGGUGUAGCGGUGAAAUGCUUAGAUAUCACGAAGAACUCCGAUUGCGAAGGCAGUUCACUGGACUGCAACUGACACUGAGGCUCGAAAGUGUGGGUAUCAAACAGGAUUAGAUACCCUUGUAGUC
rnacentral:rRNA from 1 species